CCUACGGGUGGCAGCAGUGAGGAAUAUUGGUCAAUGGACGCAAGUCUGAACCAGCCAAGCCGCGUGCAGGAAGACGGCUCUAUGAGUUGUAAACUGCUUUUGUACGAGGGUAAACUCAGACACGCGUAUCUUUUUGAAAGUUUCGUACGAAUAAGGAUCGGCUAAUUCCGUGCCAGCAGCCGCGGUAAUACGGAGGAUUCGAGCGUUAUCCGGAUUUAUUGGGUUUAAAGGGUGCGUAGGCGGUCGGUUAAGUGAGAGGUGAAAUGCCGAGGCUCAACUGUGGAAUUGCAGCGGAUACUGGUCGGCUAGAGUGUAGUUGAGGUAGGCGGAAUUUGUGGUGUAGCGGUGAAAUGCUUAGAGAUCAUGCAGAACACCGAUUGCGAAGGCAGCUUACCAAGGUACUACUGACGUUGAGGCACGAAGGCGUGGGGAGCGAACAGGAUUAGAUACCCGAGUAGUC
rnacentral:rRNA from 1 species